rnacentral:tRNA from 3 species
AGAGACUUAGGCUAACAAGACCAAGGGCCUUCAAAGCCCUAAGUGAGGGUGAAACUCCCCCAGUCCCUG